AUUUAGAUGGCCUCGCUGGUUUUAUUACCGGUCGAUGGUUCAUUCUUUUUUACUGUGAACUGUUUUAAUUUUUCGGCGCUUGAGGAAUGUCUGUUAGCCAUAAGGGUAGGCUAGCAGAAUGUUAACCGAGCUGAAAGUCAGGCUGAGGCCUGGUACCCUAUUUAUUAUUUACCAAAAGAAUUCAGUAUUAUUAUUGUAACAUAAGCGUAAAAAACUUAUAAAACAACUUUUAACAACGGAUCUCUUGGUUCUCGCAUCGAUGAAGAACGUAGCAAAGUGCGAUAACUAGUGUGAAUUGCAUAUUCAGUGAAUCAUCGAGUCUUUGAACGCAACUUGCGCUCAAUGGUAUUCCAUUGAGCACGCCUGUUUCAGUAUCAAAAACACCCCACAUUCACAAUUUUAUUGUUGAAUGGAAUUGAGAAUUUCGGCCUUUUGGCUGAAUUCUUUAAAAUUAUUAGGCCUGAACUAUUGUUCUUUCUGCCUGAACAUUUUUUUAAUAUAAAGGAAUGCUCUAGCAAAAAAGACUGUCUCUGGGGCCUCCCAAAUAAAUCAUUCUUAAAUUUGAUCUGAAAUCAGGCGGGAUUACCCGCUGAACUUAA
rnacentral:rRNA from 1 species